rnacentral:tRNA from 1 species
GAUACGAUAGCAUCGUGCAAUAUGUUAUAGAUUGAAAUGCUAUAGCUGAGUACUGUUUACUGUUAUGAUGUUGUUUAGUCGUCCAAAGCUAAAUAUUAUGCAGAUAUGGGUUCGAAUCCCAUCUGUAUCA